rnacentral:rRNA from 1 species
AGAGUUUGAUCCUGGCUCAGGACGAACGCUGGCGGCGUGCUUAACACAUGCAAGUCGAGCGAAGUUAUUCCUUCGGGAAUAACUUAGCGGCGGACGGGUGAGUAACACGUGGGUAACCUGCCUCAUAGAGGGGGAUAGCCUUCCGAAAGGAAGAUUAAUACCCCAUAACAUAGCAUUAUCGCAUGAUAAAGUUAUUAAAGGAGUAAUCCGCUAUGAGAUGGACCCGCGGCGCAUUAGCUAGUUGGUGAGGUAACGGCUCACCAAGGCCACGAUGCGUAGCCGACCUGAGAGGGUGAUCGGCCACAUUGGGACUGAGACACGGCCCAGACUCCUACGGGAGGCAGCAGUGGGGAAUAUUGCACAAUGGGCGAAAGCCUGAUGCAGCAACGCCGCGUGAGUGAUGAAGGCCUUCGGGUCGUAAAGCUCUGUCUUCGGGGACGAUAAUGACGGUACCCGAGGAGGAAGCCACGGCUAACUACGUGCCAGCAGCCGCGGUAAU